rnacentral:rRNA from 1 species
UGGGGAAUAUUGCACAAUGGAGGGAACUCUGAUGCAGCGACGCCGCGUGAGUGAUGAAGGAAUUCGUUUCGUAAAACUCUGUUCUAUGGGAAGAAAAGGACUGUACCAUAGGAGAAAGCUCCGGCUAAAUACGUGCCAGCAGCCGCGGUAAUACGUAUGGAGCGAGCGUUGUCCGGUAUUAUUGGGCGUAAAGGGUGCGCAGGCGGCUUUACAAGUAGGAUGUGAAAUAUUGUGGCUCAACCACAAACGUGCAUCCAAAACUGCAAAGCUUGAGUUAAGGAGAGGUAGGUGGAAUUCCUGGUGUAGCGGUGGAAUGCGUAGAUAUCAGGAGGAAUACCGGUGGCGAAGGCGACUUACUGGACUUAAACUGACGCUCAGGCACGAAAGCGUGGGGAGCAAACAGG